rnacentral:rRNA from 1 species
GAUGAACGCUGGCGGCGUGCCUAAUACAUGCAAGUCGAGCGAACGGACGAGAAGCUUGCUUCUCUGAUGUUAGCGGCGGACGGGUGAGUAACACGUGGAUAACCUACCUAUAAGACUGGGAUAACUUCGGGAAACCGGAGCUAAUACCGGAUAAUAUUUUGAACCGCAUGGUUCAAAAGUGAAAGACGGUCUUGCUGUCACUUAUAGAUGGAUCCGCGCUGCAUUAGCUAGUUGGUAAGGUAACGGCUUACCAAGGCAACGAUGCAUAGCCGACCUGAGAGGGUGAUCGGCCACACUGGAACUGAGACACGGUCCAGACUCCUACGGGAGGCAGCAGUAGGGAAUCUUCCGCAAUGGGCGAAAGCCUGACGGAGCAACGCCGCGUGAGUGAUGAAGGUCUUCGGAUCGUAAAACUCUGUUAUUAGGGAAGAACAUAUGUGUAAGUAACUGUGCACAUCUUGACGGUACCUAAUCAGAAAGCCACGGCUAACUACGUGCCAGCAGCCGCGGUAAUACGUAAGUGGCAAGCGUUAUCCGGAAUUAUUGGGCGUAAAGCGCGCGUAGGCGGUUUUUUAGUCUGAUGUGAAAGCCCACGGCUCAACCGUGGAGGGUCAUUGGAAACUGGAAAACUUGAGUGCAGAAGAGGAAAGUGGAAUUCCAUGUGUAGCGGUGAAAUGCGCAGAGAUAUGGAGGAACACCAGUGGCGAAGGCGACUUUCUGGUCUGUAACUGACGCUGAUGUGCGAAAGCGUGGGGAUCAAACAGGAUUAGAUACCCUGGUAGUCCACGCCGUAAACGAUGAGUGCUAAGUGUUAGGGGGUUUCCGCCCCUUAGUGCUGCAGCUAACGCAUUAAGCACUCCGCCUGGGGAGUACGACCGCAAGGUUGAAACUCAAAGGAAUUGACGGGGACCCGCACAAGCGGUGGAGCAUGUGGUUUAAUUCGAAGCAACGCGAAGAACCUUACCAAAUCUUGACAUCCUUUGACAACUCUAGAGAUAGAGCCUUCCCCUUCGGGGGACAAAGUGACAGGUGGUGCAUGGUUGUCGUCAGCUCGUGUCGUGAGAUGUUGGGUUAAGUCCCGCAACGAGCGCAACCCUUAAGCUUAGUUGCCAUCAUUAAGUUGGGCACUCUAAGUUGACUGCCGGUGACAAACCGGAGGAAGGUGGGGAUGACGUCAAAUCAUCAUGCCCCUUAUGAUUUGGGCUACACACGUGCUACAAUGGACAAUACAAAGGGCAGCGAAACCGCGAGGUCAAGCAAAUCCCAUAAAGUUGUUCUCAGUUCGGAUUGUAGUCUGCAACUCGACUACAUGAAGCUGGAAUCGCUAGUAAUCGUAGAUCAGCAUGCUACGGUGAAUACGUUCCCGGGUCU